rnacentral:rRNA from 1 species
GAUGAACGCUGGCGGCGUGCCUAAUACAUGCAAGUCGAGCGAACGGACGAGAAGCUUUCUUCUCUGAUUUUAUCGGCGGACGGGUGAUUAACACGUGGAUAACCUACCUAUAAGACUGGGAUAACUUUGGAAAACCGGAGCUACUACCGGAUAAUAUUUUGAACCUCAUUGUUCAAACGUUAAAGACGGUCUUGCUGUCACUUAUAGCUUGAUCCGCGCUGCAUUAGCUAGUUGGUAAGGUAACGGCUUACCAAGGCAACGAUGCAUAGCCGACCUGAGAGGGAGAACGGACACACGGGAAGAGAGAAACGGCCCAGACACCGACGGGAGGCAGCAGUAGGGAAUCUUACGCAAGGGGCGAGAGCCUGACGGAGCAAAGCGGCGUGAGGGAUGAAGGUCUUCGGAUGGGAAAACGCUGUAAUUAGGGAAGAAGAAAUGUGUAAGUAACUGUGAAGAUAAUGACGGUACCGAAUCAGAAAGCCACGGCUAACUACGUG